UACGGGGGGAGCAAGCGUUGUUCGGAUUUACUGGGCGUAAAGGGCGCGUAGGCGGUCAGCACAAGUCAGUUGUGAAAUCUCCGGGCUUAACUCGGAAAGGUCAACUGAUACUGUGCGACUAGAGUGCGGAAGGGGCAACUGGAAUUCUCGGUGUAGCGGUGAAAUGCGUAGAUAUCAGGAGGAACACCGAUGGCGAAGGCGGUUCUCUGGGCCUUACCUGACGCUGAGGAGCGAAAGCGUGGGGAGCGAACAGG
rnacentral:rRNA from 1 species